rnacentral:piRNA from 1 species
UUCCAAAUAUUGUCAAGUUGACAACCAGA